GAUGAACGCUAGCUACAGGCUUAACACAUGCAAGUCGCGGGGCAGCAUGGGGGUUGCUUGCAAUCCCCGAUGGCGACCGGCGCACGGGUGAGUAACGCGUAUCCAACCUGCCCUUCACCACGGGAUAACCCGGCGAAAGUCGGACUAAUACCGUAUGUUGUCCAUUGACGGCAUCCGAUUUGGACGAAAGGUUUGGCGGUGAAGGAUGGGGAUGCGUCCGAUUAGCUGGACGGCGGGGUGACGGCCCACCGUGGCGACGAUCGGUAGGGGUUCUGAGAGGAAGGUCCCCCACACUGGAACUGAGACACGGUCCAGACUCCUACGGGAGGCAGCAGUGAGGAAUAUUGGUCAAUGGGCGUAAGCCUGAACCAGCCAAGUAGCGUGCAGGAUGACGGCCCUAUGGGUUGUAAACUGCUUUUAUGCGGGGAUAAAGUGGCCCACGUGUGGGUUUCUGCAGGUACCGCAUGAAUAAGGACCGGCUAAUUCCGUG
rnacentral:rRNA from 1 species